GACCAUUAUUAGUAUUAGCUCUCAAUAUUAGCUAUUAUUACUGCAGUUGCUAUUAGUUACCAUUCAUGGCCUGGGGGUAAGAUGAGCAGAUGCCUAAGUAGCUUGUGCCUCUUGGAGAAGUCCCUGAGGGAUGGGGGUGGGGUCCCCACAUCCAGGGCAGUACAGCCACUGGAGGCCUGUGGCCCAUUAUGUAGCCUGGCACUCUUGACUUUUUGUGAAGAGGAACUAAGGUCAUUGUGAUCUAGGAGUAGUCAAAUGGACACUCAGCUUGUCCGCCCAGCAAAGCACGUGCCUGCCCACCCUCUGAGCCCCCAGAGGAAGGUGGUUAGCCCUGGCCUCCAAGGUUCUAGGGCCAGGGAGUUUCUCACCAGAAGCUGCAGUAUGUCAUCAGGAACAUUCCGAGCAUUGUUGCACACACCCCGGGCAGCCGAG